GUCUCUCAGCCUAUCUGACCUUGUCUUUACCUCUGUGGGCAGCUCCCUUGUGAUCUGUUUAGUUCCCACCCCCCUUUAAGAAUUAAAUAGAGAAGCCAGACGCAAAACUACAGAUAUCGUAUGAGUCCACUUUUGUGAAGUGCCUAGAGUAGUCAGAAUUCACAGAGACAGAAGCAGUGGUCGCCAGGAAUGGGGAAGCAAGGCGGAGUUGGGCAGCUCGUGUUCAAUGGUUUUGUCCGCCUUCCCUGCCUCCUCUUCUGGGGGAGUUAGAUUGAGUUGUAACAAGAACAUGCCACUGUCUCACUGGCUGCAGCGUGUGGUCCCCUUACCAGAGUGAGGAUGCGAAGAGAAGGUGGCUGUCUGCAAACCAGGAAGAGAGCCCUCACCAGGAACCCGUCCAGCUGCCACCUUGAACUUGGACUUCCAAGCCUCCAGAACUGUGAGGGAUAAAUGUGCUGCAUCAGAGUCCCAGGUGGGAAGAAGGCAAGCAUACACAAAAAUGGUAAAAGGCAGAAAGGAGCCCAGAGUCUCAUUCUUUUUAAGAAGUUUUCCUAAGAAUCUCCACCCAGCGACUUGCUCUCACAUCUUCUUGGCCAGCACUGGACCACACAACUCCUUCUAGAUACAUAGGAGUCCUAGGAUUCUAUGAGAAAGAAGGGGAGGGUGGGCAAAGGGCAGCCAGCUGUGCAGCAUCUGCUGGAGACACCUAACCCUUGGUGGAGGGGUUGUGGUGCUGGGAGAAGGCUUUCUGGACGGUGUGACAGCAGAGAUAAACUUAAAGGCCAAGUAGGAGUUACCCUGGUGAAGCAGGGCAGGGUUACAAGCAUUCCAGCAACAUGAAGCAGCAGGAGUGUUUUAAUUAAAAGAAGGCAGUUGCUGUAACCAACUAUAAACAAA
rnacentral:lncRNA from 1 species